rnacentral:rRNA from 1 species
ACUAACAUACCACUUUGGAAACACCGGUUCUUACCCGGUCACGAAAGUUAAGCAAAUUCGAACUCGGUUAGUACUUGCGUAAGUAACCGGCUAGUACU